rnacentral:lncRNA from 1 species
AGAAAGAAAGAAAUUAUUGUAAAUAAUUCAAAUAGUUGAUAUCGAAUUUAUCUGUGGGGGCGAGAGAGAGCCUCUCAAGCAAGCGCCCACCUCUCGAUUUUCGUCUCUAACAUUUUUGUACAAAUUAAUUACAUACACAAUCACUUUUCUCUUUUUAUUUUUUUUCUGUAAAUUUUCGUGUAAUAUUCUUAUCUGGAAAUAUGGCUAAUUAUGAUCUUGUACCGGGGCUAGAAGAAGAAGAAGAAUCAGAGGUUGAAAUGAAAUCCUAUUCAGGUGGUGGGACAAAGCAUGAAGGGAAGUCCUCCACCAGCGCCGCCGCUAAGCCGUCGGCGGCGGCGGCGGAAUGGACUGGUCAUGGGUUGGUGGUGGGUGAUGGCAGUAGGGUGCAAACAGAUGAAUGGGAUUCCAGCAUCUACUCAUGUCUUGGAAAGAAUGAUGAGUUCUACAGCAGUGAUCUUGAAGUUU